AUCAACAUAUCUUUUUGUCACUCAAUGAAAUCGAACACUGCUUGUUGCACUUGAUUUCUACAUUAAAGUAGGUAAGAAUACGUGUAAAAUAUUCAGUUAUUCAUUUCUAUUUUAUUUCUUUCAUAUAUUGGUGAAAAUAUGGGUUUUUUUCGGAAAAGAAAAUUAAAAUAUUUUGAUUUUUUCCAUUUUUCCCCCAGUUUUUUGCAAUUCUUUUAUAGGGCUUUUGUGUUUAAAAGUUAUUUAUGCCUCACGUUAUAAUGUCACUUCUUUUCUUUCUUUCGAAAGACAGUGGUAAGAUUUGGAGUUUAUGUGGGCCUAAAUAGUUUUUUUUCAAGAGUUUUCUCAUUUAUUUCAAAAUUUCACAAGUUUUCUCACUUUUAAUCAAUUUAUAAUCUUCUAUGUUUGUUUGGGGUCUAAAUAGUUUUUUUUUUCUUCUUAAUAUGUAGGCUUGUCACUUGUAUGUUGCUGACUUGCCGUGUUGUUUCAUUUUGAGUAUUGAAGAUGGGAAAGAAAUCGAAGACCAAGGACAAUGAUCUUACGUGUAAUUAUUGUUUAAAGAUGGAUGAGAACAAUAAUCUCUAUCUAAGAUGCAGUUUUUUUGGGAAUGCACAUUGGGGAGGUGUGUUUUGAAUGAAAUAUCACCUACCUCGAAUGAAGAAGAAUGUAACGGCAUGUCUCCAAGUAGGUGAUGAUGAUGCAGGGACAUGUGACGGCCUAACCAUAUAUGCAUGUAUAAUCAGGUUGAAGAUAUUCAAAUAAUAAAAUUAAUCAACUAAAUGUUUUCAAUCGAGGGGAUUAAACAAAUCUCAACACAGAGAUGAAAUCAUUCUGUCAGGAUCAUGCCCCUAAGCAUAAAAUCACGUAAACGAUUAAAAAGGGAGGACCUGGGGAUAUAAGGAUAUCCCAAAUCUAGCAUAAGACAAUCCACAGUUACGUUUGGAUCCGAUUCUCCUGACUAGCCAUCCCUCUUGUCCAUUAAAAUCAAAAGGGAAUAUCCAAAGAGGAACAAAAGAGAUGAAGAAGAGAUGAGUUCAAGAUUGAAGUAAGUCUAGGGCCCCAAAGAAAAGAAGAUAAUUGAUUCUUACCUUUUCAUGUACCUCGAAGAUAUAGAAAGAAAGAAAAUUUGAAAUCAGGAUGGAAUCCUCAACACCCAAGGGCCAAUCUUAAAAUCCUAAUCUCUUUGGUAAAAAAGGAAGAAAACAUACAAAUUCUCAUUCAUUCAAUAAUAAAAUAGGGUUUCUCACAGUGUAUAUGUAAGUCACGGAAAAAACAAAAAGUGUACUAAAACCUCUAAUAACAAGGAAAAGAACAAAAAGAUGUCUAAAACUAAAACACCCACGCGACAGGGUGUGAAAUCUGCCCCAUGGGUCCGCGAUUAAUGUGCAGUCAUGCUGCUCUUGCGCUCAUAGCACGUCAGAAAGUGGGUUUGAUGGACCCGGCGUCCAUCCGCAUCAACUCCUUUGCUCUGGUACUCUGUCGAUGACGCCUUCUCCUCUGGUACACUCUAAGGGUGCACCAAUAAUGUCCGCAUCAGAUGAGGUAGCAGAAAAAUUCAAGAAUUUAUUGGAUGGUAAUGUUAGUGAGAAGAAACAACAAGAAGAGAUGACAUAUGAUGUUGGAAGGGUUCCUAUCAUUGAUGAUUUGAUAAAAUGGGCGGUGGAAAAAGAAAAAGAACAAUGGAAGAUUUUAUGAGAGUGUGGGCCAAAAGAAACACAAAAAGCCUCUCUAAACAAAAUCUGCAAGAAGGGAGAUAGAGACAACGUGUGCCUAUCUAUUUUGUGUUUUCUAUAUGCGAAUGUUAUACCAUUUAACCUUGUAAAGAGCCCAUUCUUCACACCAAUGAUGGAAGGUUGCUAGAUUUGGGCCGAGAUUGAAGAUUCCGUCGUAUUAAGAAGGAAUAAAUUUUUGAAGAUGGAGGUUGAGUCAAUAAAGAAAUCUAUUGAUGUUUAUAAGAAGGAAUGGGGGAAGAUCGGAUGCAUGAGUAUGUCAGAUGUGUGGAUCAAUGGAGUGAAUCAGUUGAUUACUAAUUUUUUGGUUAAUAGUUUGAAUGGUACUGUAUUUUUGAGAUCUGUAGAUACGUCGGAUAUUUCAAAAAAUGCAGAUAAUUUGUUGGGCUUACUCAAGUCAAUUAUUGAUAAAGUGGGCAAAGAGAACGUUGUACAUGUAGUUACAGAUAGUGCAUCCGCCUAUGUGAAUGCGGGUAAGAUGUUAAUGGAAAAGAGAAAGAUAUUGUUUUGGUCUCCAUAUGCGGCCCAUUGCAUAGACUUAAUGUUUGCAGACAUUGGAAAAUUGCAAGUUCAUUCAGAGACUGUGGUGAAAGCAAUGGCUAUAACAAUCUAUAUUCACAAACAUUGUUAGGUCUUGCAUUUGACGAGGAAGCAUGCACAGGGGGAGUCGACUUGACCGGCCGUAACAUGGUUUGCUAUGUGUCACUUGACUUUAAAAAGCAUUCAUAAAAAUAGAAUUGGCUUGGGGUUGAGGUCGAUGUUUACCUCAAAAGAAUGGGAAGGUAGCAGCUUCUCCAAAACCACAAAGGGGAAGCAUGUUUAAGACAUAGUUUUGGCCGAUGUAGAUUUUUAGUCAUCUAUCAAGUUUUGCUAGAAGAUCACUUUCCCAUUGAUCAAGGUGCUACGGCUAGUUGAUUCAGAUGAGAGGCUGACCAUGGGAUAUAUUUAUGAAGCGAUGGAUUAAGUGAAAGAAGCUAUAGAAAAAAAACUUGGGAGAGGUGAAGAAAUAAUAUUCGGCUAUAUGGGAAAUCAUAGACCAUUGGUGGAAUCUUCAAUUGCAUAGGCCCUUACAUGCCGCGACUUAUUUCUUAAAUAUAGAUUUCAGUAUAACGACAAUUUUCAUCCAGAUUUAGAGAUUAAAACCGGCCGGUAUAGCUAUAUUUAAAGAAUGGUCCCUGAUUCAAGGCAGAUGGUCAUUAUUGAUGAGCAAAUGGAUUAAUUCAAAAAGGCCCAUGGGUUAUUUGGAAGAGAAAUGACAAAAUUAACUAGAACGACAAAGCAACCGGAUAAUUUUACUUAAAAUUGUUUUACUUCUUUGAGUUUGAUUGUGUGCCUAUUGUUUAUAUAAUUAUAUAUGAUUGUGUUUUAGGUUUAUAGUGGGAGAGUUACGGAGACGAGUGUUAAGAAUUGCAAAAGUUGGCUAUUCGUAUUUUAAGUUUGACAUGUAGUGCUGCUAGUUGUGAGCGCAACUGGGGCACUUUUGAGCAGAUACAUUUAAAGAACAGAAAUAGACUCGAGCAAUAGAGAUUGAAUGCGCUUGUCUUCGUAAAAUAUAAUCUCCAGCUUGAAAUCCGUCAUGCAAAGAGAGAGGACCAAUGGGCUUGAUCCUAUAUGCUUAUCAGACAUGGAAUCUGAUGAUGAAUGGAUCACGAAGAGAGAGGAUCCUGCACUUCCUACAGAUAACACCUGGAUGGACAUAGGUGAAUGCUUUGUCGGAGGAUUGGAGGAUGUGCAAGGUGUAGGCGAAGCCACAUCAAGACCAGAUGGGCAAUGUGGUUCUAGAAAACUUGCUAUUAGAAGCAAAGCGAAGGGAAAAGCGGAAGUGGUAGAAGAGGAGAAAGAUGAGUUUAUUUCGACAUCAAAUUCUACAGAUGAAGAUGAUGUUGGCCUCAUUGGUGAUGACUGAUGAGGAGGAUGAUGAUGAUGGUGCAGCUGAUGAAGAAUAGAUUUGUUUGGACUUUUUAUUUCCUUUUUGAAUUAUAGAAACAAUUAAACAAGUGAAUAGAGAAUACAUAUACAUUGUACAUGUAAAUAGGGAUGGAGAAAAUGUUAUUUUUUGAAUCAUAUCGAAAACUUACAUGUACAUGGGAUGGGAAAAGGAGUUUUUUUUUUGAACUUGAUUAUGAUUGAUGACAUGAUGAUACAAGUACAACACAUUGACAUUUAAUCAGUGAUAUAUCUUUUUGUUUUUUUGCAUAUUCAUGACAAAAUGGAUGAUUGUUGUGUUUUUUUAUUUUAUUUAUUUUAUUUUUUAUUUUUUUAUAUACAAUUUUUCUAUUUUUAUGACAUGUUUUAUGAAAAUCUGAAAAGUUCUUGCGAUUUACAAUACGAUAUGAUAACGAUUAUGAAAACAUUGCACAUGGCAUGUAUUAACUCACAUUAACCAAUUAAAUUAUGGACCCAUUGUUGCAAGUCACAAUCCCAUUAAAAAAAAUUGAACAAUUUUAAUCGUUGAUUUGCAGGCACUUGUUUUUUGAAAUAGGACCAUUGAAUAUUUUUCUUUCGUCACUGUUCAAUAAUUGUCCAUCGAUCUGGGGCCAAUUACAUCAGUGGGAUGAGUUCCAAUAGAUGGCAUGAAUUUGAGGCUGAUUUGGGUCAUUGAGUGGCCCCCCUAAUCAGCCCCAAAUCGGUGGUACUAUUCAUCUAAAUUUAAUUUCAAAUGUUUCUUAAAAUUUAUUGGGGAAAUGCUGCCAAAUGGUUAGGGAUAUGCAUUAGUGGAAUGGGUGCCAUAUUUUGCAUGAUUUUAGGGCCAAUUUGGGGGCAUUUGAGUGGCCCCCCAAAUCAGCGACACUAUUCAUCUGAAGUUAAUUUUAUUUUUUUGCUUGUAAUUACUUGGGAGGAGUGAUGUCAAAUGCUUAGGGAUAUGCAUGAGUGGGAUGAAUGCUAUAUAUUACAUGAAUUUUGGGGCAUUCGAAUGGCCCCCUAAAUUGGCAACAUUUAUUCAUUCAAAUUUAAUUUCAAUUUAUUUUUUAGUGUUCGUCCCACUCAAUAACAAGCGCUAAUCUUAGGUUGUCAAGUUCAUAAAUUCAUCAGACAGCCCCGAUGAAACACUCUCACCAAGGAGUGGAUAGUUAUCCAACCAUAAACAUGUUCCAAACAAGAAAUGAAUACAUAUUUGGAAUUUUCUGGAUAUUUUUCCAGAUUUUUUUGGGGUAAAAAACCCGACCACAUUACACUCUCAUAUCAGCCAAUACGGCUGAUACCCACGUCGGUAAUGAUGGUGGCCAAUAUGACCAUCGUUACUGAUACGAAAUACCUUGAUCUAGAUGAUGAAGAUAUUGUGGAAAUCCUUAUCAUGUGGAAAAUUUGAAUAAGGUGAAAAUCAAGG